UCUUCCUAUGGACUCUCGCUGUUGACAACUGGAUCUGGCUGGGAUCACCCCUUUGUCAAUGGGUACAAGUUGCUGCCGACACGGCAACGGAGGAGGGGAGAGGCGACCUUUUCCCUCAAAUGUUCCUCCGCAGAUGGCACUGGCUUCUCUGAUGAAAUCCGAGAUUAUUCUGAGAUCUUUGAAUAAUAAGACAUGUUCUGUAAAGAGAACUGCUAGAAUGGAAGAUAUGCAACAUAUGCUGCAGUCAAGAACUUCACUCUUGUGACAGAUGCUGUUCCCACCUCAGAAACCUACAUGAUCAGUCCAUCAAAAGCAUUUAACAGCCUUUACCUAUUCACAAGGAAUACAAGAGGAGUACUAGAAAUCUCAUUUCCUACUUUCGUGAACAGUGGGAAUGAAGAGGAGCUUCUACUAUGUGACAAGUAAAGUUUCCUUGGUAUCAAGUGAAAGAAAGAUUUCUCUUCAAAUGGCUGUACUGAUUUACUGGUAAAGUUUCACAUAAAAUAAUCCUUGGCAUAAUGUGGCUCAUGUUAAGAAUUUUGUGAAAGACAAUGCACCCUAACAAAUGUUUGUUCAAACCAUUUCCAAUGGAUGUAAAAAAGGAAUGCUGUAGAUUCAGUUUGGGCUAUGAGGAAACAUGGUUGAAAUUGAUGAGGUUAUAACUGUGAUUAAUAUACCUAAUUACUGGUAAAAUGUUUCUUAAUAAAGAAUGA